UACGUAGGUGGCAAGCGAUACUCGGAAUCACUAGGCGUAAAGCGCAGGUAGGUGGUUUGAUAAGUCUUUUGUGAAAGCUCCCGGCUCAACUGGGAGAGGUCAAGGGAAACUGUCAGACUAGAGUUUGGUAGGGGAUACUGGAAUUCCUGGUGUAGCGGUGAAAUGCGUAGAUAUCAGGAGGAAUACCUAUGGCGAAAGCAGGUAUCUGGGCCAUAACUGACACUGAGCUGCGAAAGCUAGGGGAGCAAACAGG
rnacentral:rRNA from 1 species